GGCUUUCUGGAUAACAUGGGGGGUCGUGCCUUCCCAGUGGGCAUACGAGCCUAAACGGACGCGGUAAAUCGUGCUAAGGUAGCUAAAUUAUGGCCUAUUAAUUGUAGGUCCUGUGAAUGGUUUGACGAGUCCUCGACUGUCUCAAAGUUGUUUUGGUGAACUUGAAUUGAAGGUGCAAAUGCCUUCAUGGGUAAGAAAGACGAGAAGACCCCGUGAAGUUAGAAAUUCUUGCCGCAGCGUUAGUACUUAUAUGUAUUCUAGGGUUAGGAAGCUUUAAUACUUAAGGUUUUUUCGGUUUCUGAGUUUAAGGAUGCGGUUUUUGUGUUUUGGCUGGGGCAGCAAAGAGGCAAAGGUAGACCUUUUUAGUGUUUAAACGGGUGCGUUACGAUCCACAGGUUUAAAAAAGGUGUGAUUAGCAGAAGAAGUUACUCCGGGGAUAACAGCGUUAUCCGCCUUGAUAGUUCGUAUAGAUGGGCGGGUUUGCGACCUCGAUGUUGGCUCUGGUUAUCCUGAGGCUUGCAGGGGGUCUCAAGGGUUGGUUCGUUCGCCCAUUAAAAUCCG
rnacentral:rRNA from 1 species